UCCCCAAACCCCCGGGCCCCCCAUGCAGCAGGUAGAAACUCACCUUCUCCCUGGUCAAGAAUUCUGGGUUGAUAUUCUCCCACUGCAGUGUGACUUUUUAGGCAAAUUCCUUAAAAUUUCUUGUCUCGGUUUCUUUUUCUGUGAAAUUGGCUAUGGGGUCGUUGUGAGGAUGGGAAAUGAUUACAUAUUUGUAAGCACUUUGAAAAUCUCAAAAUCACCUGAUUUUCGGUGAUAUGGAUGGGGACAGCUGUUAGGAAUGUGGGUGCACAGUAAACGUGGGAAGAUGAAGGGAUCUCACUGAUUAGCCUAAAUCAGUGAAAAAGGAAAAGCUGAAACCCACUGGUGCCUGGCAGAGGGGAUGUUUGCAGCUAACUCUGUUCUUGGAAGAGUUUUAACUGUUCCGUUCUUUGCAGAAGCUCCUUCUAGAAGGAAGUCCGAGGCCUCAGAGGAAGAUUUCCCGAACCCUUGAACAGGUUGAAGAUUUACCAAACCCUUGAACCCUUCCCCAUACCUCCAUUCCCCAAGCUUCCAAGACUAAAGCUGGGAGGCGUGGAGCAGUGGGAGUAACAGGCUCACCUGCCGCUGUUGGCCACCUGAGCCCCCAUAAGCAGAUUACUGAUCCUUUUCUGGUUUCAAAAGCAGGGCUGAUGGCACCUGUGUCAUGCCUUGGGAGCCCCAGAGACAAGAAUCACAGGGAAAGCUUAUGGAGCAUCAUUCUGCUGCCCUGCGAAGCAUGGGAACAAAGCCAUGGCCAUGUGGCUGACCUCACUUUAGCCUCAUUUGGGCUGCUGAAGAAUUACACUCAACGGAAUCAUCUACCCUGUUCCUUUCCUCAUUGCCACGGUUACCCGUUGCAGCUAUGAAUUACAGCCUUGAGGAUUUGCUCCGAAAACGUCCUGUGCUGUGCCGUGUGUGUUCUCCUUCAUGGGAUGCAUUCCCCCCCCAGCACUCCCGCCCACCUCUGCCUGUGAAAUAAUCAUAGCAUCCUCCAGCUGCCUCGAAAUGCCUCUUCUCCCCGAGUUUUCCCACAGACUCGUGACUCCCGGCUCUGAGUUCCUCAGCACCCUGCUCAGCCUGCUUCGAUGGCCUUCCUUGUGUGGGAUGCCACUUUGUCGCUGAUGGUCAGUUUUCCCUCUGCCAGCAGGAUUGUCAGAUUCCCAUUCAUAGCAGUGAACUUUGAGCCUGAUAUCUGUUUACACAGUCAGUAGCCUCCUUGUUUGGGGAAAGAAGGGAGGGAGGGACGGAUGAGGAUGCAGUGAGGAGGAUACAGGGAGUGAAGAGUUUUCAUGUAUUUUGUCAAAAGAGUGCUGGAAAUAACAGAUCUUAUAGUGUCAGAAGAGGAAGAGAUUAUUUGGGCAGAGAAGGGUCCUCAGCUUGACGUUGAAGCCCAAGGAGGUAACUCGAGUUCAAAAUGACCAGCGGAAUAAGGUUUAUGAAAAGACAUCAGGGUGUUUUUUGGUUUUGUGCCCACCCUGAUUUAAGCUGCGACUGUUAAAAAAAAUAAAUCAGAGAUGGUUGUCGCUCACAAGCAAUCUUCGAGCAUUUACUUUCUAAGUAAGUACUUCAAGAAACAAUGGCUUUUUGUUUUCAAAAAUCACAUAUUGCUAAUCUCAAAGAGCAUUUUGAAAGGAGUCUUCAGUAUCAUGUGAAAAAUUAAAGUAUUACUAUAGACCAGAAACUGGAAAGGAAGUCUUUUCUGUUCUCUAGGAGUCACAUUAUGCUGUAACCAUUUGAGAAGGUAGCCUAUAAGUUAAAUUUUCUUUGAAACUGGCAUGUGACAUGGCAAAAAUCAAAUGCAUUGUUUUUUGACAAGGUUUGAGGACUGGAAUUUAGAAAAGCACUUGGUAUGGGAGACGGCUGAAUUAAUACCGUUGAGAUCGUGGUUAUAAAGAUUGAUAAAGAAGGUGCAUUCACUAAAAGAUAUAAUGGCAGAUGUAAUAAUGACGGCAUUCAUCAUCCAUCAAAGGCAUUUAUUAAGCACCCACAGGUACUUGGCAGCCUAUGGCGUGCCGUGCAAGGAAGACAGACGUGGUCCCUAUUCAUGCAAGAGCUUGCCAUUGUGCUCUUCCUUUGUCAGGAGCAUAACGUCCCUACUUGUCACUGCUGCCUGAAAGACACUCCUUGUCAUUAUUUACGCUGUCUGAGUUUCUGAUUUUCAAGGGUGGGGGGCAAGUCUUUUUUGUCGUUUCUUUUAAUUAUGCCACACACCGUGGUGUUCCAUCCUCCAGGGAGACAUUGCCGCUGUCAGUGGGUGAGCCUGCAGGUAGGAACCACCCUGAUGUUCAUUGACAGCAUCCGCAGGAAGAUGGGUGGCUUGUGGGAGGUCAUCGUGCUCCUCCUAAUAGAGCCCACAGGGCUUUGCCUGUCUCGCUGUUGUAACCCCUGUACCCGUAGGUUCUGCCCGUCCUGGUCUAGACUGUCAGCAAGCUGAGGGAAUGGAGGUCCUUCUGAGCACUCAGCACCCGGCUGGCAGUGCCACCUCACCAGAGAUCAGUGGUUUGUUGACUGACUGAGGCAACAAAAGAAUUCCACAAAGCAAUGGAAGGGGACAUCUGGUAACAACUGGAGACAUUUUGGAUUGGCACAGCUGGAGGAAGUGCUAUUGGCAUCUAGUGGGUAAAGACCGGGGAUGGGACCAAACAUCCUCCAAUGCAUAGGAAAGCCCUUCAAGCAAAGAAUUAUCCAGCCCAGAUUGUCUCUAGUGCUGAGGUUGAAAAACAGUUGUCUACAGUCAACAUUUGUUCAAGGGACCAUGGUGUUCCCAAGUGUCAGGCCUGUGUGCAGAGCUCUACAAGGAUUGUCUCACGGAAUCCUCAGAGCAGCCCUAUGAACUAAGUUUUAUUACAGUUUCCAUGUUACUGAUGAAUUAACCGAGGUCUAGACAAGUUAGGUGCAUUUGUCCAAGGUCAUGGACCUUGGGUUCAAACUCAGGCCAUCUGACCCAAGAAUAGAGAGAGAGAGUGGCUAUAUGGAAGUGAGCUUUAGCAUUACCUUGAAUAAGCAGAGUUAUCCAAAACAUCUGCUUAAGUUCAAUAUCUCACAUUUCAGUUGGUGAAUAAGCAUGGCAAUACUGUACUUCUAUCCUCUCUUUGAAUUUUUUGAAAUUAGGCUUGUCCACUUGGUCACAUCAGUGUGGUCAAAUGGAAGACCAUCUCAUCUCAAAUGCCCCUGAUCGGCUCUGAAGUCUUGAGGGAGUUAGUUAAGCACUCUGAAUUCCAAGCACUUUCAUCUAUAAAAUGGGCACAGGUACGCUUACCUUGCAGGACUAACGUAGGGCCUGAAUGUACUAACAUGUUUGAAAGCGUUUCACACCUGUUCACUAGCUGCUUAAUAAAUCGAAGCCAGAAUUGUAUCACCACAUCCUUGGUUUAAACUCUCUGCCACCCAUCAAGGAGAGGGUCUGAUGCCUGAUUUGGAAGGACCAGAAGAAUGUGCAUCCCUCGUCCUCUUGAAGCUUCCAGAUAUGGGCACAAGAUGCUGGUCAACAGAAUUAUGUUUCUUGAAAAUGCAAAAAGAGUCAUCGCCAGAACUCUUCUCUGUGUCUGGUGCCUUGAAACACUUAGGAGCUGUAUGAUUUCUGAGGCAGAAUAAAGCUGAAGAGAGGUGGCAUCCAAAAUAGCACUUUCAAAAAAAUUCUGAGCAAGGGCAUUUGCAGUAUGGAAGUGGAAUGUUAAUUGAAAUCUGACUCUGCCAACAGGAGCUUUGGAGAGAGCCCAAUCAAGAUUAGACUAAUUAAGACAUCUUUAAAAUGGAACAGGUUGGACUGUCUUAAAGAAGAAUUGAACCAAAUGAAAACUAUAUGCUAAGGAAUAUGACUCUGGAGGGUUGAAAAAACAAAACAAACAAACAUGCAAAUAAUUAUCGUCAACUCAGAGGAAGGAAGGAGAGAUGCUAGCUCUGUGGACCUCGGUGAGUCAGCCCUACCGUACCGGAAACAAAAUUUUCUAACAUGUCGCUGACAUUGGCAGGUUGGUUGUUGGGCAGACAUGUCAUUCAAACCGCCCUGGAAAUAAACUGUUUUCUUUUACAGGCUAUCCUGGAUGUUUUUUAGGGAACACUUCCUCUACACUUGCAGCAUGACAUAAAAGACCCCAAAGACCAAAAUAUUCCAACAGAGCUCAUUUUUAAUGUACAGCAUUGUGUGAUUUUAAAAAAACUGUUUUAAUGCUUCUUAUCUCUUGGCUUCCCUUCCUUUGUUUCCUCCCGAGCCAAUCAAAAAGUCUUUAUUUUAAUGUGUUGCAAAAUAAAGUAGCAGUUCUACAAAAAGCACAGAUAAGACACCUAAUUUUUAAGGUUGUGCUAAGUACUGAACUAACCUG